CACAAAUCAGUUCAGCGUGGAUCCCUGCAUGGUCAGCAUGGUGACUCAUGAGAAACUCCUUGCAUGUUGGAUGCUGGCUGCCAGAUCUGCCCCAUAGGCUACACAGCAUCCCGGGUUAUAUUUAGGACUCUUAGAAGAGCAGAAAUAGAAGGACAAAAUGAAGAAUAAAGGCAUUACAAAAUAGAAGAUAGGCAGAUUAAUGAAGACAGAAGAUUAGAGAAUCAAAUAGAGAACAGGAAAUAGACAUAUAGUCAAAGAAUAAAAAUAGAUUACAAUAGAGAUAGAAAAGUAUAUAGAAUCGAGUAUAAAGAUAGAUAGAAUAGAUACACAUGGAAUCCUCAUGGCAAUGAGACUUGUGAAUACUGCGUUGGGGCUGGGAGGGAUGCAAGAUGCAGAGCGCCUAUAUGGCCUGGUGCGGGAAGCUGUGGGGCAUGUGCAUAAGG